rnacentral:rRNA from 1 species
CGUAAACAAAGGGAAGCGAUCACGUGAGUGUAAGCAAAUCUCAAAAAUAACGUCCCAGUUCGGAUUGUAGUCUGCAACCCGACUACAUGAAGCUGGAAUCGCUAGUAAUCGCGAAUCAGCAUGUCGCGGUGAAUACGUUCCCGGGUCUUGUACACACCGCCCGUCACACCAUGGGAGUUGGCAACGCCCGAAGCCAGUGACCCAACCCUUAAGGGAGGGAGCUGUCGAAGGCGGGGCCGGUAACUGGGGUGAAGUCGUAACAAGGUAAC